GCUACUUCUUUUACAAAUAAAUUUGCAAAAAUGCGCUAAAAAUUAAAAAGUGGGGGAGGGGGUAAAAAUAACUGAAUGAUGCAGUAAUGAAGAAGCGGAAGCUAGCACAUUUAGUAAGGGAGGUAUUGUUUUGGGAUAAAAAAUGACCCCUCACUAUUUUAACGGUAAUACACACUUUGAAGCAUCAGGAAUCCGAAUCAAACAAAAUCUCGAUGAUGUUGAUCGGUCUAUCGGUCUGUCUGCCUGUACUCUCAUUUCCGUCUAAACGGCGUUAAUAGAAUAAGUGUGAAAAUUGCGAAAGAGGUGAAGAGUGGGGUGAAGAAGACGCGGCAGAAGAACUCGUGAAACAAGGGACGGUGAUUGCAAAAGACGUGAUUGAAACGUGAAGAAAGAAGGCGGACCAAACAAACAAAAUGUAAAGAAAGUGCAAAGGAAAAGAUGUGAAAGAAGAGGGUAUGAAAGAAUGGCCAAGGAGGCAUAAAGUAAGAAAAGUGAUAAAAGAGGUGAAGACAGAUUUUUUAAAAGAAGUUAUGUACUGGUAUGUGAAGAAAUUAGAUAUAUCUAGGGGUAGAGUGAAACCCCCUGAAGGGAGACAUGGAAUACUCGAUAAGGGUGUCUGAGAGGUCAAAAUGGUAUAAAGAUGACAUAAAGAACAAUCAUAAUAGAAAACUGCCAGAAGCACAAUGGAAAGUGAAGUUAAAUAAAGAAAUAACACAAGAGUAAAAGAAGAAAAUGCGACGGAAGAAGACGUGCUGUUGUAAGAUAUGUGAAAUUGGGGGUGCAAAUGAGGUUCGAAAGCAUCGUGGGGAUAUCACAAAGAAAUGGAUGCAUAUGCGAAAGAGAUCUGCAAAAAGAAUGAAAGCGGUAUGAAUGAAUACGUUAAAGAAGAUGCUGAAUGGAUGAAGAAAAUUGAUCCAUGAUGAAGUCGCAAAGAGGGUGAGAAGCUUGAUGAAGACGUGAAAAAUGAACGAGUGAGGGAGGAUGGAGAAGUAAUGGAACGAAGUCUAAAGAGGAGGGCCCAGGAAGCGGGAUGUGCAUGCAGCUAGAGGGAAUGUAAAACCAGAGAAGUAGACGGAAGAGGACUUGGUUAUGGUUAUUUUCAUUUUUGGUUGUAGAAUAAACUUUGCUUGUGUGAAAUCAUGCAAAUCGUGUGUUUAUUCAAUCCCUUUAACGACUCAGAUAUAUGUCUCAUGUUUAAUUAUGAUUAAUUUUGUUGAUUCCUACUCAAAGUUCACUUCAAGUGUCUUCUUCAAAAUUUGAUAAGUGAUCCUUUUGAAUUUGAUCGUAACCAGUGUUUGCUUUAAAUUUGGAAUUUAGAGGCGCAAAAUUGAAUUUUUUUAUUGUGCCGCAAGAUUAAGAUCAUCGGCGUCAUUUAAAGUAAUCCGUUCCAGUAAUAAGGUACUAAAUCUUCAAAGUAAUAUGACUUGUAAGAGAUCUACGUGACCUUUGAACAUUUUAUUCUUAAUGGUCUAUUUACCAGAACGGGGUGAUAAACACCACGACUCUGAAACAAUCUGCGCGUAGACCUGGGGCUCUUAUCUAACUUUUGCUUCAUUAGCCGAGCGCAAAAGGGUAUCGCUGCAAUAUGUAUACAACAUUUCGCUAAUAAUUAAACAAGUACCCGGUUUCAUUUACUCGGUAGCAGAUUAUUUUUACAUGAAGUAAACAAACUUUUUUUGGGUUAUAAUACUGUCGUCCUCGAGAUUACUACCACUAAAUAUGCAUUACCUUUAAAUAUGCAUUACGAUGAGUGUAAACAAUAGAAGCUUCUUUUUUAUCUAUUAUACACAAACCUAGAAGAGAUAUGACAAUGUAUAAUUGAAGCUUCAAUUUUUUUAACCUUUAUUUCUAAUAGUCGAUACAGCAUGAACGUGGUGCUCCUUUUAUUAAUAAGAAUGGCCUUGAGCGCCAAUAUUUUGUAUAUCGUACCCCUUGGUUCUCCAAGCCACGUCAUAUGGAAUCGGGCACUGGCGGUUAGUUUAAAUGACAAAGGUCAUAACGUCACCAUGGUUACUCACACUGAAGAAAAACAGAAAAUCAAAAACUUUCAUACUAUUUUACUGGAAGGUUUCUACGAAAAAAAGUAUGAAGCUCACAGUUUAGAGUCACUGUCAAAACGAGAUGCGUUUUCUAACAUUAAGGCAAGGUACGAUUAUUCAUUUUAUUCGUGCGUGCACGAUUUAGAGACCGAAGGUUUCAAAACCUUACUGAAUUACCCCAAGGAUUUCAAUUUUGCCCUGAUCAUUUUUGAUAUUACUAAUGAGGGAUGUCUUUACCCGUUGAUCCAAAGAUUUAACAAUCCACCAGUGGUGGCAGUUACAACUUUCUUACUAUCACCUGCUCUGGCGCAUGUUUUUGGCAAUCCCAUGCAGGCCGCCUACUUCCCAUUUUAUAGUACGAAGCACACCGAUAGAAUGAUUUUUGUGGAAAGGAUGAAAAAUUUUCUACUGAUUCACUUUGAGAUUCUAUACAGAAGGUACAUUAGUCUGCCAGCCGAGUUAAAAUUGGCAAAACAAUAUUUUGGUGAAAAUAUUCGAGAUUUUGAAGAGGUCGAACGAAAUAUGUCCUUAUUGAUAUGCAAUUAUGACCCCCUAUUAAGCUUUCCUUUGGCUUUGGCACCUAACAUCGUUCCAGCGGGGGGUUUGCAUAUUGAGCCCGUUAAGCCACUACCAGUAGUAGGACCUAAAAAAGAUUGUGGAGGACGCUCAAGAAGGUUUAGUUAUAUUUGCGUUGGGUAGUUACUUCCGGUCAGAUCAGUUGAGUAUUACUAAAAGAACUGCAAUAUUAGACGCUUUUGCAAAACUUCCCCAGACGGUGUUAUGGAAAUUUGAAAGUGAAAUAACUGAUCUUCCGAAAAACGUUUUUGUAAGGAAAUGGCUACCGCAAAAUGAUCUUUUAGGAAAUUGUAAAACGAAAUUGUUAAUUACACACGGAGGUGCACUGAGCACCCAGGAAGCGAUGUACCAUGGAGUACCAGUGAUCGUAGUUCCAUUCUUUAUAGAUCAGCAUGCAAACGGGGAAAAACUUGCUGAUAGACGUAUGGGAAAAGUAGUGAGUUACCAUGAUAUCACGUCAGAAAAUUUAUUUGCUGCUAUCACAGAGGUCAUCAACAAUCCCAUGUACAGUAAAAAUAUAAAACAAUUAUCACAACUGUACAGAGAUAGUCCAGACCAUCCAUUAGAACGAGCUGUUUAUUGGGUUGAAUUUGUGUUACGGCAUGGAACAGCGAAACAUUUUAAUUUAGCAUCGAGAGAUAUGUCGACAUACCAGCUUGCUAGUUACGAUGUCGUUCUCGUCUUGUUGUUAGGAUUGUUUCUCCUAUAUGAAUUAACGUUAUUUAUUUUCACCUGUUGUCGGUGGACUUAUAGCAUCAAAUCUCCCGUAAAUAUAGCACUAUAACACUCAAACAGAGUUGGUCCGCUUCUUUACUUCAAUCUCCUCUUAAACCUCCUAAUGUUUCGCUCACAAUUCACUGAUAUUCUUCGUGCUCUCUUUAAACCCUUCACAUCUCUUCCUCUGUCGCUUUGUCUAUGCCUCUAGCCCCUUACCCUUUCUUUUAUGCCUUUACACUUACGUGGGACCUCCAGUCACCAUGAUCCAUAUCAUUUUCACUUCUCCUUCAUGUUUUUUUCACACCACCUCUACGUCUAGUUAAUUUAAUUUCAUCUGCAUCUGCUAUAAUGCUAAUAUUGACAAACAUUUUUUUAAUUUGAGAGACUCGGUACGUGGGCUUGAUCAACUUCAAUCAAUUACAAACAAUUUUUUAUGCAACUUUUGAUUAAUAACUAAAAUAAAUCUUGGGCACAAGUAGGAAAGUCUGAGAUGAAAACUCUAUUUGAGUCGCACAAAGGAUUCAAAUAAACGCAUAAUUAAGUUAUCGACAAUGAAACACAUGAAGUAAUUAAACCAAAAUCCCUGAAAGAAAGAGAAGCUUACAAAACUUAAUGACUUUAAUGAAAGACAAACCUUUUAUAAAGGUUUUACUAAGCUGACAACUCAUUUGUUUACUCACACUCGAACUCACUUUUUCUGAAUACGGACAAACCGUUGUAAAAACUUUUCACAAACUGUUACUUGACCAUAACUUGAAUGUUUUAUUGAAAUUGAUAAACUUCUUCUGCACACUUAAUUUUAAAACCGACGAACUGCGUCUUCAACAAAACAACUAGG